UUUGAUCCUGGCUCAGGAUGAACGCUGGCGGCGUGCCUAAUACAUGCAAGUCGAGCGAACGGACGAGAAGCUUGCUUCUCUGAUGUUAGCGGCGGACGGGUGAGUAACACGUGGAUAACCUACCUAUAAGACUGGGAUAACUUCGGGAAACCGGAGCUAAUACCGGAUAAUAUUUUGAACCGCAUGGUUCAAAAGUGAAAGACGGUCUUGCUGUCACUUAUAGAUGGAUCCGCGCUGCAUUAGCUAGUUGGUAAGGUAACGGCUUACCAAGGCAACGAUGCAUAGCCGACCUGAGAGGGUGAUCGGCCACACUGGAACUGAGACACGGUCCAGACUCCUACGGGAGGCAGCAGUAGGGAAUCUUCCGCAAUGGGCGAAAGCCUGACGGAGCAACGCCGCGUGAGUGAUGAAGGUCUUCGGAUCGUAAAACUCUGUUAUUAGGGAAGAACAUAUGUGUAAGUAACUGUGCACAUCUUGACGGUACCUAAUCAGAAAGCCACGGCUAACUACGUGCCAGCAGCCGCGGUAAUACGUAGGUGGCAAGCGUUAUCCGGAAUUAUUGGGCGUAAAGCGCGCGUAGGCGGUUUUUUAAGUCUGAUGUGAAAGCCCACGGCUCAACCGUGGAGGGUCAUUGGAAACUGGAAAACUUGAGUGCAGAAGAGGAAAGUGGAAUUCCAUGUGUAGCGGUGAAAUGCGCAGAGAUAUGGAGGAACACCAGUGGCGAAGGCGACUUUCUGGUCUGUAACUGACGCUGAUGUGCGAAAGCGUGGGGAUCAAACAGGAUUAGAUACCCUGGUAGUCCACGCCGUAAACGAUGAGUGCUAAGUGUUAGGGGGUUUCCGCCCCUUAGUGCUGCAGCUAACGCAUUAAGCACUCCGCCUGGGGAGUACGACCGCAAGGUUGAAACUCAAAGGAAUUGACGGGGACCCGCACAAGCGGUGGAGCAUGUGGUUUAAUUCGAAGCAACGCGAAGAACCUUACCAAAUCUUGACAUCCUUUGACAACUCUAGAGAUAGAGCCUUCCCCUUCGGGGGACAAAGUGACAGGUGGUGCAUGGUUGUCGUCAGCUCGUGUCGUGAGAUGUUGGGUUAAGUCCCGCAACGAGCGCAACCCUUAAGCUUAGUUGCCAUCAUUAAGUUGGGCACUCUAAGUUGACUGCCGGUGACAAACCGGAGGAAGGUGGGGAUGACGUCAAAUCAUCAUGCCCCUUAUGAUUUGGGCUACACACGUGCU
rnacentral:rRNA from 1 species